AAAGAAUGCCAACUGUCCUAAAGAUCAGUACAUGGUGGUCAAGACUGCAUCGUACCGUGGAUUGUCUGACACAAAGACAUGUGGUUUAAGUGAUGAUUAUAGUUGUGCAGUUGAUGUAACAUGUCUUGUUAAGAAACAAUGUGAUGGUCAACAUGAGUGUAAUAUAACUGUGGACGACAACUUGUUCUCUGGUGAUCAAUGUCCUGGAUUGACAAACUAUCUUUACUUUGAAUAUCAAUGUAUUAACACUCCAACACCUUCUAAAGAAAUUUGUGGUAUGUAUGGCUAAUGACAAUAGAGAGAGGUUCAGAUAUGACUUCCACUACCGUUACUGUUACCUGUCAGUGUUUUAAUACGCAUUUGGUUGGUUACAUCAACACCAUAUCUUUGUUUGAUUGCCUUUGACAACCAAGUACAACUGGUAUUAAGCCAAGUAUUAAUUUGCUUAUAUACACCAAGAAUAACUCUAAGCGAUUGUUCAAAUGGGCCCGGUAGCCGCCGGGAUGAAUCGUGUCAGGAGAAUUUUUUCCUGACCAUAAAAGAUAUUUUAUAAUAACUUUAUACUGUUAUUGGAACACCGUUAUUAGAGCUCCAUGCAUGCAUGAUAGCUCUACACUAUGAUAAAUAUACAAUUAUAUUGAUUGAUUGUUAUCUUUCCAAAAUACCUAGAGCAAUUAUAGAAACCUGUCUUACCCUUCACAUUUCGUUUUGUGUUUGUAGUGGAUAGUGUGUCUUUGAAGUAUUCAACUCUACCAAACGAAGGUUUUGUACAGAUAUUGACAAAAAAUAGCGGGAACAAGACUGUUUGUUGGCAAAGUUUAACGAACGAGGCCGCGAAUAUUUUUUGUCGUCAAUUGGGUUACACGAGAAUGGCGUCUAAUGUUAGUAAAGUCCCUCCAUCAAACCAAGAUGCAAUAUUUUCUGGAAGUAUAGAGUGUACCAGUGGAGGGGAAAACUUAUCUCAAUGUUCCUUUACCAUUUCUGACGAAAAUUGUUCUCAGAUUUCUUACAUG
rnacentral:lncRNA from 1 species